CCUCGAGAACGCCGACCCGCGAGGGAAGGGACAGCUAGGGCGGGAGGGAGCCGCGCCACGCGGGGCUGAGCACGGCGGGGAUGCGAGCGGCUCGCCGGGUGGAUCCGAGGGAGGAGGCGGGAGUCGAGGGCGCCGGAGCUCUCUGAGGAGAAUCUCCGAGACGGGGACGGCGUGAAGGGAACGCGUCUAGGAGGCGGCCGGCCGGGCCCUGCGACCGGGCGGCGGCAGGCGGACGGGCCGGUCGGUGGAGGGGCGGGGGCGUCCACGGCGCGGCCAGCACCUUCGGCUGCAGCUGCAGCGCGCAAUUGUGCGCCGCCGGCCACCGACCGCCUCGCCCACCGGCCCCGCCCCCUCCCCGAGAGGCCGCGGCGCCCGCGAGCCCCGCCCGCCCCGCCUCCCGCAGGUGGGAGGGGGCGGGGAGCGCCGGACGGACCUCGGUGAGCCAGGCCGGCCCCGCGAGGGGAGGCUGCGCCGAUGACGUCAUCCGCGCCUGACGCAAGAGGCCGGGGAUCACCCGGCUUCCGCGUGACGUCAUGGGUUCGCGAGGAUGCUGCGCUCUACCUGCCCGUGGUCUGCUUCGAAGCAGCCUUCGUCCCGGCAGGGAUCACACUCAUGACCUCACACUUACCAGGCAAGUGUCUGAGCCACUGAGCUAAAUUCCGGCCCAAUCUUCAUUUCUUCCUCAUUCUAGAGUUCAGAGAGCUUCCAGACUGUGGACACAGGGAUAUGCCAGGAGAAUGGUGUUCCCGACCUUUAUGAGGACAGACGCUUCUGUGCCCACGACCAUGCUGAACCUCACCCUGUUGUACAUCUUUAUUGGCUGCUCAUCUGUAUCCUUUAUGUAACCCUUUAUAAUAAACUAGUAAUCAUAGAUUUGCA